rnacentral:rRNA from 1 species
AUUGAACGCUGGCGGCAGGCCUAACACAUGCAAGUCGAGCGAGUGGCGGACGGGUGAGUAAUGUAUGGGGACUGCCCGAUAGCGGGGGAUAACUACUGGAAACGGUGGCUAAUACCGCAUACUAUCGGAUAACCCAUAUGGGAUUAGCUAGUAGGUGGGGUAAAGGCUCACCUAGGCGACGAUCCCUAGCUGGUCUGAGAGGAUGAUCAGCCACACUGGAACUGAGACACGGCCCAGACGCCUACGGAGGCAGGAGUGGGGAAUAUUGCACAAGGGGCGCAAGCCUGAUGCAGCAAUGCCGCGUGUAUGAAGAAGGCCUUAGGGUUGUAAAGUAAUUUCAGCGGGGAGGCGUUACCCGAAGAAGAAGCACCGGCUAACUCCGUGCCAGCAGCCGCGGUAAUAC